rnacentral:rRNA from 1 species
UACAGAGGGGGCAAGCGUUAUUCGGAAUUAUUGGGCGUAAAGGGCGCGUAGGCGGCUUUUCAAGUGACGGGUGAAAUCCCUCAGCUUAACCGAGGAACUGCCUGUCAGACUGGAAGGCUUGAGACCGGGAGAGGUGAGUGGAAUUCCCAGUGUAGCGGUGAAAUGCGUAGAUAUUGGGAGGAACACCAGUGGCGAAGGCGGCUCACUGGACCGGAACUGACGCUGAGGCGCGAAAGCGUGGGGAGCAAACAGG